rnacentral:rRNA from 1 species
UACAGAGGGUGCAAGCGUUGCUCGGAUUUACUGGGCGUAAAGCGUACGCAGACGGCAAGGUCGGUCGAAUGUGAAAGCCCAGGGCUCAACCCUGGAACUGCAUUCGAAACCUCCUUGCUCGAGUAUGAGAGAGGAAAGCGGAAUUCCUGGUGUAGAGGUGAAAUUCGUAGAUAUCAGGAGGAACAUCGGCGGCGAAGGCGGCUUUCUGGCUCAUUACUGACGUUCAGGUACGAAAGCGUGGGUAGCAAACAGG